AAAAGAAAGCCAACUCUUGGAUGAGCAUCAAGCUGCAGGAUCAAAAGAAAAAGUGCUCAUCAAAGAAAGGAACAAGAGAACAAAGCAACUAAGGAGAAGACGCAUUGCUCAACCUUCUCAAGAUAUCCACGGGAGCGUGGUGAAGAAGCUUGAGAUGGGAAAAACUGCAGCAAGUGUUAAGCUCCAUAAGAAGGAUGUUCCUAAAGCAAAAAAUGAAGAAAUCAACAUGAACUUGGAAAAAGGUAAAGAUUCAAUUAGUCAUGUUGUUUGCACUGACCAUUUCUCUAUGUCAUCCAAGAACAAAAAGAGAAAAGGGAAAAGGAGGUGCUUUAAGUGCAAUAAGUCAGGACACCUCAUUGCGUUGUGUCCAUACAACGACAAGGAUGAAGGGAUAAGGAGAUGCUUCGGAUGCAAUGACAAGAACCAUACGAUCACUUCUUGUCCGCUAAUGACAAAUCAAGCACGUGCACUCUUCGGGAUAAACCCCACUAAGAAAGAAGACAAACAACAAGCGUCAUGUCAGGUUAAGCGACGCUUCUGCUAUAAGUGUGGUGAGCAGGGUCAUCUAUCCAAGGUAUGUAAAAAGGGUAAGGUUCCUAAGCAAGUAAAUAUAUCUCAAUCUUAUUCACUUAGGAGACCCAAACCAUACACUUGUGCUAGAUCAAUAAUGAGAUCACCUAGAACUAGCACAAUUGCUAUUUGGGUACCAAAAGCUCCUAUGGAUGAUCGUUAUGGACCCAUCCUGAGAUGGGUACCAAAUUGUACCAACUAGACCAUGCAGGUGCCUCGAGAUGAACUGGAGACCAUGGGAGAGCUUAAGAUGGUUAAUUCAAACUCUAUGCUUAAGUUGUCAAUUCUACUAUCUAUUUAUUGACCCAAGGUUGAAUUAUUGUGCAAUACUAAUCCCAUGUUCAUCUUGAGUAAAAUAAGUUGUAGAGGUCUUUGAUCAUUAUUGGUGAAUCAAGCAAAGGACCUUGAUGAGAAUAUGCAACGUGCUCUCCAAAGGACGGUACCCGUGUAUUAUAAGUACAUUAUUGCAAAUCAGUAUUGCUCUGAAGUUUGAUCUGUCCUCGGAGUAGUUAUUCUUUUGAGAUUGCUUGUGUUGAAUACUUUUUGAUCAUUGAUUCAUGAUUUCAAAGAUCACAUUGAUGCCUGUUUAAUCAUGAUUUUGUGUUAUAUCUCUUGAAUCAUUCAAUUAGUAGCUUAUCAUUUGAUAUAUUUACCAUGAUUAACUCUUUAUGUGUUCAUGGAUAAACCUGUAUCCUUUUGUAAGACAUGCUAUUGUCUUUAAUGAUUAACCUAUGUGCAAGCAUGACAUCUUGUUUAGUCCAUGUUCACAUGAUUACCCUAUUUUGGUACUAUGUGUAUACCAAAUCCAUGUUGUGCCUCUAAUGCACCUUCUUGAGCUAUGAAGUGCAUAAGCAAUAGGAGACCUAAAUUGGUGACAACGAGUGCUCUCAUGGCAAGGAAAAGGUAUGGAAAAUGGAACUAUGCAAUCUCAUUGAAAAUCUUGAAGUUCCAUUAAUUGUGAUCAUAGCUAUGUUCUCACCUUUGAAUUGGUAGUAUAUUGGCUUAGGUGCGCUCUCUUUAAAAUGUUGUUUCUAAUCGGUGUACCUAAGAAACCUUCUUAAUCAUGGUGUGCUUAGGCAUUGUAUGCAUGGUCUUGUAGUUUUCAAUUGGUAUAUGUGUUGCAAUGAUCAUCGUGUGUGAAGCGUGCCUAGGUUGCUUGUUAUAUUCCUUGAGGCAUGCAUUGUUUCCACUAGUCAUAAGUUGUAUUAUGUCAUCUAUCCAAUUGGUAUCUCUCUGUGAUGAAAUUGAUAGAUUAUGUCUAGACCAAGAUAUGUUGUGAUCCCCUCCAGUUCUGAGGAUGCUAGAAUGUGCAAAGUACAGGUCAUUCAAAUACUUGUUGCACAACUUUAGGGGGAGCACACAUAACUUGUGUCUUUUGAGACUAAUUGUUUCUUGAGUGAUCUUGUAUAGUCUCAAGGUGAAGAAGGGAAGAUGAGUAAUAAAUGAAGCAAUCAGGACUUGGGUACCUCUGUAAGUCAAGUAUUUGGUAUCUUAAGUUAUGAGAAAUUGCAUAUUUUUAGAUUGCUCGUGCUCUAUAAUAUUUAGUGAUACUAGAUGCUUAUCUUCAAAUAUCAUGGAGCUAUGACAGUAAUGAUCUUUCAAUUAGUAGCCUUGAUAGUAUGCUUAAGUUGAUAUCUCUUGGUAAUCACUAGAAUAUGAACUUCAUCUUGUGUUGCAAUACUAUAACUUGUUCUAAGUUUGGUGUCUUAGCAACAAGAAAAGGUUAGGAAAAAGGAUCAGGCACAAGUGUGGAGGAGCCUCCUAGAGAUUAAACUCUCAAGAUGGAAAGUACAUCACAACAUGGUUAAGGUACAAAAGGAAGUAUUGAUCUUUUGCUCAUAUGUAUCUUAAUUUUUCUCCAAUGCUUGUGGUGCAUAUGUUUAAUGAGUAAGGGGGAGUAUUGUUAGUGUGUUUGGCCUGCUUAAUACCCUGUUGUCCCUUGACAUCAUCCUAUACUCUUGCUUGAAUGUGGUUUUGGUGGUUGAUGUCAAAGGGGGAGAAUUUUGUGCAUUAAAGCUUAGGUUUCCUUGAGUUCCUUGGAUCUUAAGGAAGGAUGUGUUAGUUUGUGGUAUUGAUAAUUCUUAUCAUAUGCUUCUUGUUGUAUUAUAUGGUGAUGAUGCAAAACUAGUGCUUCCGCUGCUAUGAAUUAAUUGGCAUCUAUAGUAGUUAUCCUGUAAUAGAUAUUCAUGUGGGUAAUGGUGCGUGUGGUUAAUGGUGCUUUAAAAUUGCUUUAAAUUGAAUUGCUUUAAAUUGGUAUCUUAAUGGUGAAUAGUGGUAGGUUGAUAUUCCUGUGAUAUAUCCACUCAAUUGAUUGGUGUUUAACUCUGAUUCUGUGCAUUUGUAUGUUAUACGCAUCAUGGUUUGAUACUUGACACAAUGCAUCCCACAUGUGCUAAGGUAUAGUAAUGCUUUGAAUUAGCCUAAGUAUGUGCAAUUUGGCAUAAAGGGCCAAAUUUAAGAUUUUGAUGUAAGCACAUAUUCAGGGGGAGCAUCCUAUAAACUUAGAAUUCAAAAUUUGUGCUUUAAAUUUUAUUCUUAUGUAAGCUUUAAUUGUGUUGCCAUCAAUCACCAAAAAGGGGGAGAUUGAAAGCUCUCUUGUGGGUUUUGGUGUUUGGGAUGACAACCCAAUUAAAGGACUAACAAGUGUGUUAAGUGUUGAACAGGUGCUGAAUGCAAAGCUAACAGGGUUCAACUCAAGUAAAUAGGUGUGAUGGUCCAAAGACGGAAUUAUCUAUAGAUAAUGGACAUCAUAGGAAAGGUGGAUAAUGCUUAAGUGAGACUUGAUGUGCAUAACUUGGAGACAACUGAUCAAACCAAGGAUGAAAGCAAGAAGAGCUUCGAGGUACCGAGUGCACGGGAGAAAGUCAAGGAGACCAGGAACCCAAAGCCAGGGGUGAAGAAGGAGACUUGCGGAAUCAGGGUUGAUCGAGUUAAGAAGAGUUAUGGUGCAUCAAGGAACACUACAUAAGGACAUGACUUACAACCAAUGAGGUAACAUCUACAAUUAUGUGGUAUAAGUCAUAAGGCUCAAGACCAAGCUCAAAAGGGAACAAGGUCACUGGAAGGAGAACAAAUGUCCAAAUCAGAAUCGGAAGCAGCCCAAAAGAGCUAAGUGCACCUUGACCUUUAGUUUGGGUUGUUCCUAUGUUUGUAGAUAUUCUAUGUGACCUUUGCAGGAUGUUGGAGCUCAGAAAUGACAAUCUAGAUCAAGUCAAGCUGACUUGAUGAUUUAUGAGUCCAACAUCAAUCUCAGUCAUGCCAAAUGCUAAAGAAGUGAAAAUCAAAGAGAAGGCAUGUUUCUAGACUUAGUACAUUGGUUUUUGUGUACUAACAUAUUUGUCUAAGUGUUAGAAAUAGAAAGAAGAAGAAAAGAAGAGAAAAUACAAAAGGAAAAAGACUUGGCUGGAGCAGCCAAGACUCUACGCAGUCUGGGUGCACCGGACUGUCCGGUGGUGCACCGGACUGUCCGGUGGUGCAGGCUGGCGUCUGGUCAACUGGCCGCUCCCGGGAAUUCGUCGACAGCGUUCGGCUAAAAAUCACCGGACUGUCCGGUGGUGCACCGGACUGUCCGGUGAGCCAACGGUCGGCCGCGCCAAGGGUCGGCCGCGCAAUCCGUGCAUGACGCGUGGACGAGCCAACGGUCUGAUGGGUGCACCAGAGUGUCCGGUGUGCACCGGACAGUGUCCGGUGCGCCAACGGCUCCAAGUCUACAAUGAUCGACAGCGCCAAUUUAGGAAGGAGAUCCGCACCGGACAGUGAACAGUGGAUGUCCGGUGGUUCACCGGACUGUCCGGUGCACCACCCGACUGAAGGCAAGAAUUGCCUUCCUGGAUUGCUUCCAACGGCUCCUAGGCCACUUGGGCCUAUAAAAGGGACCUCUAGGCGCCUCAAACAGAACACAAGUGCAGCCAACAAGUGUAGACAUCACGCAGAUCAAUUCUCUCUCUCCCUCUUGUGUGAAUCUCUCUAGUUUGUGUAGAAGGCAAAGCUAUAAGCCUUUAGAGAGUGGAGAAGUGCUACUACGAGCUAGAACAUAGUCUUGAGCGUAUCGUUACUCUGCCGGAGUGCUGCCAAGAAGAUUGUAAGCAGCCGCGGUUUCGUUGUAACCAACUCAACAUAGUGGAAGGCUCUAUCUGUCAUACUGACAGAUCUGAGCAAACGGAGGAAGGAGUUGAAAUAGACUCCAAGCCGAGGUGUGGCUAACUCCAACGAGGACUAGGCAAGCAUUUCAGGCUUGGCCGAACCUCAGGAUAAAUCCCUGUGUCUGUGUGCUUCGCUCUGUAUUGUGUGCUGUCUCUCUAUCUUAUUCACUUUUUAUAUCUGCACUUCAACACUUAUCUGUGGUACAAGUUAUAUUUGAAGUGCAGGGCAUUUUGAGACAGGAACUUCUAUUCCGCUGCAACCUACUCGAAGGGUCUUUCAUUCCACUGCGAUCUGGUCUUCGAGUAGAGUAAGAACUAAAGUUUUAAAGUGAUAAUUUUUAUUCGCCUAUUCACCCCCCCUCUAGGCGACAUCCAGAUCCUAUUACCGGGCAAAGGGAACUUUCAAUAAUUUAGAUUAAAGUUGAAUUAAUUACUACCAUAGGUUAUCUUUUCUCUAGGAUUAUAAAAUAAACAUAGAACCUAGUUAAUCAUUUAAUCACAUUAUAACUUGAUGACGUAACUCUGAUUUUAGUGGUUCUCGUUCCCACGAUCUCGUAGCAACGCGUAGAUUAUUAUUAUGAAGUUUGUUCUUAUGUUUGGUGUGAUGUUAAUUUUGUCUAUAACAUGUUUGUUUGUAUUGCUACGACUAGCAGUGAGGUCACAAGGAUAUGAAGAAUCACCUUGGUAACUGGAAUCUCAAGUGCCAAGCAAGUUGUGCCCUUGAUCCACUUUUAUUACCCAAUAAUGUUGUUUAUUAUCACUAUUCAAUGCAUAGGUUUAAUUUUGAUGGGACCCAAUAGGUCGCCCUAGUCUGUUUAUCCUUUUACCUUAUUUAUCCCUGAAUCACUUGGGUAGUUGUGCUAUUGCUCUAUAUGGUUUUGGGAUAAUAUUUCAUUAUAUCCAUGUUCCUAUUAUUCUGUUAUGUUAUUUAUGUUCAUGAUAAGAUCAUUAUGUCAAUGGGAACAUGGAGAACCACCCGGGAAAACAGUGCUACCACAAGGGUUUAAUGGGACGCCCUUGGCUGAUUAACUAGGAAAGCUAGUGGAUGACUACCUUACCCGAAAGGGGCAAGGGCAGUGGUCAGUGUAGGGAGGUCCUUGGGUUGAUUUUGCUGCGAUGGCGAUCAGGCGAGGGAUUCCUGCACUGGAGCUUCCUAUAAACUGUAGCGGGUUUUCUGAAGCUAGUGGAACUUUGUAAAGGCCUCGUAGUGUUACCCUGCCUUGCUUCCUUGGUAGAGGUGUAUGGGAUUCAUGACCCCUUGGCAGAUGGGUAACACGGCUUGUGGGUAAAGAUGCGCAACCUCUGCAGAGUGUAAAACUGGUAUACUAGCCGUGCUCACGGUCAUGAGCGGCUUGGACACUCACAUGAUUAAUUUAUGGAACCUAAACUCAAUUUGUCAUUUCAUUGCAUUGGGAUUAUUUUGUUAUUACUUUUACUUAUUAUUCAUUAUGGUUUGGUAUUUACUUACACUUAGUAACUGCUAAUAAAAUUUUGACCAACUUAUAAAAGCAAUGCUCAGCUUCAACCUUUAUUUUGUUGAUCAGCCUUACACUUCACAUGAACUCCCACCUUUGGUGAGUUCAUGCCACAUUAUUCCCCACAACUUGUUGAGCGAUGAACAUGUGUGAGCUCACCCUUGCUGUCUCACACCCCCCACAGGUCAAAGACAGGUACCACAGGAUGAGGCGCAUGGAAGAUGCUGCGCUAUGUUCAUGAGAGGUCUAGGUCGUCGUCUCCCAGUUGACUUUCUGGCGCCAAGGAUGGAUUUUGGAUCCUGUUAUAUUUAUCUUUUAUUUUUAUAAGUCUUCCGCUAUGUAAUAAAUACUCUGAUUAUAUUGUGACAUUUAUCUCUAUACACUCUGUUAUUAUAUAUGUUGUCUUCUUUGGCGCAUGUAUGAGAUGCACCCGGCUUUGUCCCUUAAAGCCCGGGGUGUUACACAGACUCCGCCUCCACGCAUUUGAUCGAUUAUGUUAGUGAUUUGAGCUCCGUUUGAGUUGCGAACUCUCUAUGCUGUGUUUCGAGCUCAAGUCUUGGCUUGUGUGCGUGUGUGUUCUGCUGAUUUGGGUCUUGUGUGUGUUGCUCUCCCAUCCUUACUCUUGUGCUUUCUCUGUGAUCUAUAUUGUAAGGGCGAGAGGCUCCAACCUGUGGAGAUUCCUCGCAAACGGGAAGUAUACUCAAAAGAGAAAAGACCGUGGUAUUCAAGUUGAUCUUUGGAUCACUUGAAAGGGGUUGAGUGCAACCCUCAUCCAUUAGGACGUCACAACGUGGAAGUAGGCAAGUAUUACUUAGCUGAACUAUGGGAUAAAAAUCGCGUGUCUCUUGUGUCGCUUUUCUUGUUAUUGUUUGUUCAUAAGAGAUCGUCUCAUAGCCACUUGAUUAACUAGCGCUAACAUUUCUAUAUUCUAGUUUGUGGCUAUUUAGUGUUUGAUUUUACACGAUCACCUAUUUACCCCCCUCUAGGUGCUCUCAAUUGGUAUCAGAGCCGUACUCUUCACUUAAAGGUCUAACUGUCCAAAGAGAUGGAUCCUAAGGGUAAGGGGAUGGUGGUCAACGACAAGGAGAAGGAGUCCCUCUUCAACAAGCCAAGAGACGACAAGCCCACUGACUCAGGCUCGAGUCACAAGAAGAGGGACGAGAAGAAGAAGAGGCGCAUCAAGAAGAUCAUCUACUACGACAACGACGCCUCCUCUUCUUCACCAAGGGACGACGACGACGACAAUGACUCCUCGUCCAAGAAAAAGACAGUUAAUCAAAAUCAUUCUUUUGAUUAUUCUCGCAUUCCCUAUAAUUCAAAUGAGCAUUUACUAUGAAUUCCCCUUGGAAAACCUCUGUGGUAGCCCUCCCAAGUUAUCGGGCCCACGUGCACCAAUCCUUGCCUUGAUGGCCUCAGAUGGCUAUGCACGUGUACCAGGUAACUUAACAAGGCUAUCACGAGUUCAACAACUUGAACUCAUCAUCCUAAGGAUCUCCCACCAUACAUGCAUAUUACAGUAAUCACAUUCGAUACACACACACUUCGGAGAUAAGAGCGGAAGACUUUACAAAACAUUCUUUUUAUUUCUAAAACUGAAGGUUACUACAUAGAAAGAGUUACAUUUAUUACAAGUCCUGAUAUACUCAAAGUGCAUAACUUAUUACAAUAGCAGGAAGGUAGGAACCCUCCAAAGCCUAUACACAAGCCUAACUAAUCUUCCUCCAGAACUGGAAACGCCCUCCAGCCACAGGAACACCUAGAGUACUCCUCAUCACCUACAACAACAUGGGUUCAAAACCCUGAGUACGGAGUGUAUUUUCACAAGUCUUACCCGACUAAGGAAAAAGACUCUCAAGGAUAUGCUGGUUAAAUAGGAAUCAAGGAAAAGGCUUUAGCAAGAAUCAAAUUAGAUACUUUUGCAGAAAUAGCUUACUAAAGUGAGUCCUUACUUUCAAUAUUUUAAUGCCAAAUUAAAUAUUAAUAGACUCUAGUUGCAUCUAGUCAAAUUUCACCAUCUCAUCAAUACAACAUCAUUUUUAUUCAUAAUGUUUACAUCCUGACCUAGGUUGCAGGUCAGAGAUCAAGUCUCCACUCUCCGGGGAUAUAACGGCGAUCCGAAUCGAUUUACUCAGCUGAGGAUCUCUAACCACAUGACAUAUGUUUCUCGUAACUCUUGCAUAUGUCUACCAUUCCCACGGAUCCUCCACUGCAUGAACAGGUCCGCGCCACCUGAGAGCACACCACCCCUUUUAGGCGGUCCUUUGCCAGGAGGGUACGUGCCACUCUCGCCAUCUCUCCACUCCCAGUGCGCGAUUGUCUUUUCAUGUAUGGAAUAGCCGGGUUCAAGCUUACCCUGUCCCAUAUCCAGGGCAUGUGGCCAGUUAAGAUAGUCCUUGAUCAUACAGGCCUACAUACGCAUCCAAUCCUUAAUUAACCUGGGUGGAGCAUCACCUGUUCCUAGCCCAAGUCUCGAUUUAAGUACUUCCAUCCUUAGGAUUGUUUUGGGUUCCUUAGGAUGAAAAGAGCAUUAUAAGGAACUUUGCAGUAAGAUCCCACCAUACGCUCCCAAUGAAAAUAUUCUUGCAGGUAGAAGCCAUCCUUCCUCAGGAUAACCCCUGAGCUAGGCAUUAUUUCAAAAGACAACCUCUAUUCACAAGAUCUAAGCAGGGCUAAGCAUUUUUGUAAAUCAUAUUUUGAUACUCCAUCAGGAGUAUCUAUAAAGGCAUGGAUAUCAAGGUAGGCAAUGCAUCAAAUAGUUUCCAAGCAACUCCUAUAAACUUAAUGCACAUUUCACUAGACUUAAAGUGUAUAAAAGUCAUUUAAAAUACAAGGAAGGGGCAAAUGCACCGGGGCUUGCCUUAUUGCAGUGAAGAGGUUCUAGAUCUUCUACCCAAUAACCAGUUAGAUAGCUCCAUCCACUUGAUGAACAGGCACUGGAGAAAACUCCUCUUCCACGACCACUUCAUCUUUAAUUUACACUCCUUCUGCUGGGAGCUCUACAUGAAAUGAUAUGAACAUGAAUGCUUAUGCUUCUUGCAAAUAAAAUACUAUAAAACAUCACAAGACUUACACCUCUUUAAAUAGCACACAAAAACUAACAAAACCUUAAGAGAGCUAAAUACUCUAAUAUCACAACUCAAUCAUACUAGGGUAGCCAGCAAGGAUGAGGUGAUAUUCUUCAUUUACUCCAAUAUAGACACUAGUUUACUAAACCAGCCAUCACAGCUGCACUACACCCACAUACACAUGCAAAACACAGGGAGAGAGUGAUCUUCUUCAGUCAAUCAACCAGACACUGAAUCCACCUCUAAUACCCAAUUGUAUAUGUCCCUGUUCAGCCCCACUUUUUCCUUGUUUCUGCUAGGGACAGACCAUACCAAACCUGUUCACUAACUAAAGCUCUUCAAGUUUGUUACAAGAAUCUAAGACCCAAACUGCAUGUACUACAAGUUAAGGUGUCCAAAAUUCAGCCACCUUCCACUAAAUUUGUUUUUAGUUUUCUGAAACAGACAUCUCACACAGACUGACAGAAGAAAUUUCGGCACAUUUUACUCUAAAUUUUAUACAGCUCCAAACUUAUUUCUCUGUAAGAAACUUGUUCACCCAACACAUCUACAAAUCUCUUCUAUAAGGUCUUUAGCUUAUAACCAUACAUAUCAAGCGUUAGGGUGCAUUAAAGUUGAGCAAACACACGGAAAAUCCAUUUUCCCAAUCUGAAACAGCACAUUACUAGGUCUGACAGAGAGUUUUGUCACUCCUUUUUCUCCAAAUUCUACACAGUAGCAAGCCAACACUUUGCAUGAGACUUGCCCUCCUUUACAUGGUCUUUCACUUUGCUAUAGCAUUCUUACCCCAAUUCUUCUUGGAUUAAUUACCACAAGGACCCAAAUUUGAAUAAAAACACACAAAUUCAGACUUAAAUAUUAUUCUAAGUCUGAAUCCCAACUCUUGACAGUCCACCUUUUGGCCACUUUUACUCCCAAAUUUAUGUGGAACCAAGUCCACCUCACUUUAUAAAACUUGCUCUCUUUACUAUGGUCUCCAACUUUGCUAUGGAAACUUUAAUCCAAAACCCCAUGAAUCAGUCACUAAUGAACUCCAAACUAGGCAUCCUGUUGCAAUUCAGUUCUCAGAACUGAAUAACAAAAUUCAGUUAUGUACAGUCUGACGGUCCAACUUUAGCCAACCUUUUCUCUAAUUUUUACACAGCAACAGACCAAGCCCACAUUACCAAAAUUAUUCCUUAGAUAUAGCUCUACUAUUUUGGUAUAGCACCCUAGGUUGAAAACAUUCAGAACAAUUUUUAUGAAGCACCAAAGUAGAGCCAAAACCACUGCAACUCCAUUUUUAGUGUUCUGAAUCAGCAUUCAUUAAGUCUGAUAGAGAAGAUUUGGACAUGUUUUACUCCCAAUUUUGUGUAGCACCAAGCCCAUGUCCCUUUAGUAAUUUUGUUCAUCUUACUACGGUCUUCGAACUUGCUAUGGAACUUUGGCCCAAAACAAAAUAUACUGGGCACAAUAGAGCUCCAAAGUCGAGCUCAACACACUAAAACCUAGUUUCAGCCUUCUGCACUAAGUCUGUGAUCCAGAAACCUGAAAGCCUAUCUUUGAACAAAUUUUACACCUAGCUCCCAGCAACAGACAAUGGUAGAGUACAAGUAGUAAAUGGUGUGAGCUUCACUGACCUUUGCCGAGCAUGGAACAAGUAGUACACAACCAAGAAUACUUGUGGGAAACCUUGUCCACGGGGAGGUGAAGAACGGGUGGGUUUGGUCACCACAGACAAGAGGUUGGCAUUUAGCUCUGGGGUAAAGCAAACUUGGUGGCUGAGAAAGGUUUACACCUGCUGAACACAGGGAUUCCAAUCCUUUGUAGUGGUCUGAGGAUAGAGCUUGAGAAUUGGAGACAACCUUCACUGAACUAGGCCUUUUAAGGCUGCUGAACUGGGCAGAUGUCCCUGAACUGGACCAACAUGCUGUGGAGGGUUACUUCGCAAGUUGCCAGCAAUAUAGGAGCUAGCCAACGUGGCUUUCAUGCAUCCACUGCACCAAGUUCACAGCCCCCAAUUUAACACCGAAUCUAGUCAGCUAACACACAAAUAUCCCUUGUGGAUAUGCUCUAACAGCCCAAAAUAUCAACCUUAUUCAGUGAACACAGACAGGCAGGC
rnacentral:lncRNA from 1 species